UGUGAGCUUAUGUAGUUCUGAAAUGUUUGUAGAGCAUUCUUCCUCUUGAAAAGUUGUGUAAUGUGUGCUCCCCGUCAGCGAUCUGUCGUGUAGUUUACACACAACAGCAGCGAGAUGAUCCUCCAGACAGUCGUGAGUGUGAACCCGGCAGAACUUAAAGAAGAGAGGAGACUCUCUGUCUGUGAGACUUGCUCAGAAUAGAUUUGCCAUUCAUGAAUGUAACAAACCCAGGGGUCUGAAGAGAAGUGAGUGAUGUCCCAGAACAAACCAGACAGCAGUCGUUACAGUGGGAGAAGUAUCUGAUCUCCUGU
rnacentral:lncRNA from 1 species